CGACAGGCGACACAGGCGGCCGCCUGGGGCGCCAUCUGAUGGAUAGGGCGCAAAAUAAAAUAAAUAAAUAAAUAAAUAAAUGUUUAUUAAAUUCAUGUUUGUAAUAUGAAAUGCAAUCUCUACAUACUCAAAAUUCCCAUUUGAAAUGACAUGAAAUUAAAACAUCAAUAUUUAAAUUCUAAUAAUCUGGCUGCAUUUCGAGCUCCCGCUUGAGCCACCGCUCCGAUGCAUUUGACCGUUAAGGUUGCCAUAGAUCACGUGUGUGGGUGGCACUGUAGAAGGACAUCCUGUUGUCGUCGCGUUUAAACGUUUGAUAUUUUACGAUGAAAAGAACGCCUAAGCCAUCGGGAUCAGCAUUCCGAAAGCGAAGGAAGGAAGAAGAAUAAAAACGGGCCCAAAGCAGAGCGUCUUCAUCCAGGCAUCACGCAGCAGCAGCACAUUUACUGAGCUACAAUCUCAGCAUCUAGAACCAGAAGAAGAACCCAACACCAGCAGACUCAGUGCUCCAAUCCAACAGUCUGAAGAGACACCAUCAUCAGCUUCAACAGAUGUCUGUGAACAUGUAUGAGCUGCUGGCCCCAUGGAUCCUGCUGACUGGCCACAGCAGUUGAACAAAAUGGAAAGUAGAACUUUCUUUAUGAUGACACUUUGAUAUUUGAGUUCUGCUUUUGAUUGCACAGUUUAAUGCUGCUUUUGAUUUUGCAUCCCCCCCAAUGACAUUUGCACAACAUUUUGAGUUGUCGGUUAUUGUAAUAUUCUCAGGUUACUUAUCUUUCAAGCUUACAUUUAUUCUUCAGGCUGAUGACUUUAAAGAGUUGCUGU